GUCCUUCCCGCGGCGAACAAAACUCUCGCUCCAACAGGUACCGACACCGUAUAUUGAGGAUGCUCCGCGAGCCUUCCUCGCAUCCCCGUUUUCCUCUGUUUUCCCGUACUCUUCCACUAUCUCAGUCUCAGAUCUCUCUUUCUCUCCCUCUCAAAGGGAAGUGUUACGGGCCAAAUAAUAUCCUCCAAUGGUGUCUUGACACGUAGGCCACCCAUGAGACUUUGCCAAAUUGGAAAGGAAACGCGACACACGCGAAAGGUAAUCCCUACCCAUCAGUCCUCUCCUGCUACCAGAUGAGUGAAGGGAAAAACAGCAGAUGAAAUUCGUAGGCUUUAACACUUUGAUUUCUCCGUAACAAUCCCCUGUAACUGAUCUCAUUUCUUUAACGUGUAAUGCGCUAACGUGACGUGUUUGGAUUGGUGGGUGUUAAACGGACUACAAUACCCAGUCUGUUCCAAAGAGGAACUGUUCUUCAAAUAGCCGAGAAGCGAGAAGGUUACAAAACGCUGAUAAACUCAUAGCAUAUUCAAAAUAAAUUAGACGUUGGUGUUCAUGGGAAUCGUUGGCGAGGCUGCAAACAAGGAGGCUAACAGAAGCGUAUCUGAGAAGAAGCCUACAGUUGUUUUUGUUCUAGGUGGCCCAGGUAGUGGAAAAGGUACCCAAUGUGCGAAUAUUGUUCAACACUUCGGUUAUACCCAUCUCAGUGCUGGUGAUCUUCUCCGAGCAGAAAUCAGCUCUGGUUCUGAAAAUGGCACUAUGAUUCAGAACAUGAUGAAAGAAGGAAAGAUCGUUCCCUCCGAGGUUACUAUUAAGCUUCUCCAGCGCGCAAUGACAGAAAGUGGUAAUGACAGAUUUCUUAUUGAUGGUUUUCCUCGUAACGAGGAAAAUCGAGCAGCAUUUGAGGAUAUUACAAAAAUUGAGCCAGCUUUUGUCCUAUUUUUCGAUUGUUCUGAGGAAGAGAUGGAGAGGCGUGUUUUGAAUAGAAACCAGGGAAGGGAAGAUGAUAACAUUGAAACAAUAAGGAAGCGCUUUAAGGUUUUCUCGGAGUCUAGUCUCCCUGUGAUUGAGCAUUACAAGUCAAGGAGAAAAGUUCGACAGAUUGAUGCUGGAAGGCCAGUUGAAGAGGUUUUUGAGUCUGUGAAAGCUGUAUUUACCUCAAAAAAUGAGAAGCUGUUCGAUUGGGUUGGAGGUUGGAACACCAAUGCAUUAUAAGAAUUUGGGGUUAUCACCAGUCUUGCAAUAAAGUUGCAAUUUUCAAUCAUUUGUCACUCAUGAAGUUGUGAACUAUGCAACUGGAUAGUGUAAUGCUCAACAAGCUGACUGAGCACUACAUAUCCACCUGAUAUUCAAGUAUCGUAUCUAUUGAGGUUCUGUAUUUUGACUGCGUAUCCUUGUACUCUGCGAAGGAUGAUAUAUCUCUCCCAUUUUUUUUUUCUAAAUAUAGAAGGUUGUAUUUUAUGCUAUUGAGUGUAUACCUCCAUUUUUCUUCUCUUUUGAUUAUAUUUCUCUGUAAUGCCAUCAAAUAAUAAUUGUAAUAGCAAUAAGGAUCCUUUUUUGAGUC